rnacentral:rRNA from 1 species
GAUUAUGGCUCAGGAUGAACGCUAGCGACAGGCUUAACACAUGCAAGUCGAGGGGCAGCGGGGAGUGGCGACACUCUGCCGGCGACCGGCACACGGGUGCGUAACACGUGUGCAAUCUGCCCGUCACCGGGGGAUAACCCGUGGAAACGCGGACUAAAACCCCAUGAGACGAGAAUGGCGCAUGCCAUGAACGUUAAAACCGAGGUGGUGACGGAUGGGCACGCGGGACAUUAGGUAGUUGGCGGGGUAACGG